AUUUCCUGAACCGACAGUGGACAUCCUCUCUUGUUCUGGGAGUCAUCACCUGCCCACCUGAGAGGCUUAACUUCCCUGCCUCUGCUUGUGCCCUUAAACGGGCAGCCUGGCUCCUGCGGGGCCGUGGCGUCUUCCACAAUGGUCUGAAGGUGAGGAGGGAGCCAGGAAGAAUGAAGUGACCCAAGCCUCUGAAUGGAGAGGAGCUGGCUAAAAAGGGAGACAUGCAUGUCAUUACCUGGACAACCUUUGGCCUGUGUUUCCUCCUGUACUCCUGCCAUUGAGAAUGUUAAAGUUGGAAGUAAAAAGGGGGACUCUAGAUCUGUGAGAAGUUUGGGCCAAAUCUUGACACCUGCCCUGAAGGCACCAUCCUGGGACUGAGGCUAGACUCCUCUGGAGGGCUCCAUCUCCACAUCAACGGGGUGGACCAAGGGGUAGCUGUACCAGAUGUGCCCCAGCCAUGCCAUGCACUUGUGGACCUCUAUGGACAGUGUGAGCAGGUGACAAUUGUGAGCCCUGACCCAGGGACUGCCAGUGGGAAGACUGCUGGAACCCAAGGGGACAUGGAAAAAGCUGAUAUGGUAGACGGUAUCAAGGAGAGUGUGUGCUGGGGUCCACCGCCUGCUGCUAGCCCUUUAAAGAGCUGCGAGUACCAUGCCCUUUGCUCCCGCUUCCAAGAACUGCUGUUGCUUCCUGAAGAUUAUUUCAUGCCUCCACCAAAGCGUAGCUUAUGCUACUGUGAGUCUUGCCGGAAGUUGCGAGGAGAUGAGGCCCACAGGCGCCGAGGAGAGC
rnacentral:lncRNA from 1 species